UGGGAAUAUUCUAGAAGAAGGGCAAUCUUUUGUUUAUGAAAAGUGGGUGGGUGCUUAUGGUAUAUAAGGAGCUCCCCCGUCGGCCGCAGCACGACUUGCAGAUCCGCCUUUUACCGAUUAGGAUCGACCACAAGCAGACCGUUCCGUCCCCGACGACCGGACGGCCUCCCUUGCCUCCACCCUGGUCAGUUGUGCCCCCGCCAGAGGAUCCCGAGCUGCACCUGUCCCGUCCAACCUUGACGGGCGGACCCUCUCACCGGACAGCGACGUCGGACAGAAGCGGUGCCUAACCCGGACACUCCACCCCGGCUGCUACAAGUCACCCUCCAAACCCGUGCCUGCAAUUAACCCAGGCCCUCCAGACGGUGACCUGCCUUGCCGUGGCCCUCAGGAGAAGACCUGGUUCCGCCCGCUGCCAUCCGUCCGACCAUCACGUCCUGCUGCGAGUCCACCACCUCCGCAGGUGUCCGGACCGUUGCUGCUGCCAGCUGACCAGCCACCUCUGAGGCAAUAGUUCCUGCUGCCUGCCGCCGCCCACAGCUACGACCCCGCUCAAGAGCGCCCUUUCUGCAACCCCUUCCCGAAAAACCAAGACUGUAUUCCCAGAAAAUUAAAUCAAAUCUCAAAUAUUUAGAAGUGUGCAAUUUAUAGGGAAUAUAACCAAACCCA